GGCUCAAGGAUGAACGCUAGCUACAGGCUUAACACAGUGCAAGUCGAGGGGGCAUCCAGGAAUCUAGCUUGCUAGAUUUGCGUGGCGACCGGCGCACGGGUGAGUAACGCGUAUCCAACCUUCCCCUUAGUAGGGCAUAGCCCGGCGAAAGUCGGAUUAAUACCCUAUGUUAUCCGAAGAAGACAUCUGAAUUGGAUUAAAGAUUUUAUCGCUAAGGGAGUGGGGAUGCGUCCGAUUAGGUUGUGGCGGGGUAACGGCCCACCAAGCCUUCGAUCGGUAGGGGUUCUGAGAGGAAGGUCCCCCACACUGGUACUGAGACACGGACCAGACUCCUACGGGAGGCAGCAGUGAGGAAUAUUGGUCAAUGGGCGCGAGCCUGAACCGGCCAAGUAGCGUGCCAGGAUGACGGCCCUAUGGGUUGUAAACUGCUUUUAUGCGGGGAUAAAGUGCGCCACGUGUGGUGUUUUGUAGGUACCGCAUGAAUAAGGACCGGCUAAUUCCGUGCCAGCCGCCGC
rnacentral:rRNA from 1 species